UCUAGGAUGGCUGCAGCUGGGGCAAGUUGGCUGUGUUCCAACAUGUCCCUCCUCCUCUCGCUUGGAAAAAUUCUCAUGUCAGUGGAGGGGGUGCAAGAACACAAGUGGAGAUAUGCAAGCAUCAUUUCAAGUCUCUGCUUGCCUUUUCAUGACUCCACUAAUUUCUUCGGCCAAAGCAACUCACGUGGCCAGCCCCAGAUCAGAAUGAAGGGCACUCAACCAUUAAUGCAACUGAUCUACCACUGUGAGGAGGAGGCACAGCAUUGCACAGUAAGAAGUUCGAGGAGGAGAAAGGAAAUCAAAUAAGCCAAAUUAUGCCAUGUCAUUUUAACCUCUAAACUUUGAGGAGUGGAAUUCACCGAUUCAUCACUUAGGUACAACAGCCAGGGCUCAUCAGAAAUGCUCUCCUUGGCACCCACCACCCAUCUGGCACAUCUCCCACCAUUUCCCUCCAUCAAUCCUGUUUGUUCUCUUUGCUGUGAGUCUCCUGUGAUUUGUUUCCUUCUCUUCUCAAGUACAAUACAACAACAUCUAAAUUCAAGAAGUCCAAAUUGGCUUGGUCAAGGUGUGCCACUCUCCAGGCAAGUACCUUUUCUUUCCAUACAGCAAGGAAAUCCCAAAUGUUGUUUUACCUGAUGAUCUUUAUUAGAGGAAGCAUGUUUUCUUAAUCCCAGAGACAACAGUAACUUCAUUAACCUGUGGGUGGAGAAACGUAAGAGUUACAAAAGUCAUACGGAGUAAACCAAAGAACAUGCCAGAGGUUGACAAAUCGGACCAGCUGUGGGGUUUUCUUUCCCACACUCGGUGGCAUGAAGAACUGCCUCCUAAGGAGUAACUCUGUCUUCUUGUGGGAACCGUCUAUUUGCUAUUAAAAUGUCUAACGAUUAA